AUGCCAAUCCUCCGCAUUGGUACAUCCAUCUCGGUGGGCUCAGGCUCCUCGACCCUGUUUUGGUUUGACCGGUGGGUGGGGGAUCUUCCCCUCGCCGCCCGUUUCCCCGAACUAUUCUCCAUCGCGGCUGACCCUCGGGUCUCCGUGGAGGUGGCCCUUAUUGACUUAGGGCGCCUCGCUUUCCGUAGACCCUUUGGCCCCCUCGAGGUGGCUGCAUGGGAUGCUCUCCUUCAGGCCAUCGCUCUUCAGCCUCUAAACGUCGACAACGCGGAUGACUCCGUCUCAUGGCGCCUCAAGACUUCGGGGCGCUUCUCGACCAAGUCCCUUUAUCAAGCGAUUGCUCCUUCCACGGCCCCUGAGCCGUUUAGUCUGAUCUGGGACAUCCGCCUCCCCUUGAAGAUCAGGAUCUUCCUCUGGCAGUGGAUUCGAGGACGCUUGCCCUCAGGGGUUGAGGUGCGCAAGUGUAACGGGCCCGGUGACGGUCAGUGCCCCCUUUGUGACGUGGCGGAAGAUGCUAACCACAUCUUCUCAUGCGUCACCGCUCAGUUCUUGUGGUCCUGCUUCCGCGACGUUGUUGGUGGAACUUGGUGCAACACCAACUUCCCUGACUUGUUGGCGGAAAUCCAGGCCUCUGCCCCCUGGCACCGCCACAUUAGGUGUGUUGGGGUUCUCGCUUGGACGCUUUGGACCGUGCGCAGCAGGCUUGUCAUCCAGCGUGCCCCUCUUCGACGUGCGACUGACGCCAUCUUUAAAAUGUGUGGUUUCUUGCAGCUCUGGCGGCCGCUUAGCCGCUUCCAGGACCGGAACGCCAUCGACACCCUCAUCACCAACCUUCGAGCGAUGGCCUUCCACGUGGCGCCCCCGCUUCCGCCGCCUCCUCCAGAGCCAGACUAG
rnacentral:rRNA from 1 species